rnacentral:misc_RNA from 1 species
CACAUACUAUCUGGAGGUAGAAUAUUUUACAGACAAAUUUUAAAAGGUUCAUAAUAUUCAAUACACGCGCAUAUCGCCAAUGAACUAUACUUAACUGAAUAAUAUACAGCCUAGAAUAGAGGAUGGAUUAUCCUACGAGGCUUUUCGUGGUUAUCAUUUUCUCAUCAACGAGUGUCACCGGUGUAAUCGCCGGAAUAUGUUGGAGUGAUACCUGUGAGUUUCAUAUGGAGGUCAAACACCAAAGAACAAUGGCCUACACAUAUGCGAAAGGUAACAGCCACGGAAGCUAUUUGAGUAAUCCUGUUGAGGUCAUGGCUAACGGGACUCUUAAAGUAGUUCCAAAUGGCUUCCACACUAUUGUAGAAGAUGUAAUUGUUAAUGCUAGUGAUGUGAUAACGGCGGAUGGAUUCACAAGAAAUGUGAUAACUAUCAAUGGCCAGUUUCCAGGCCCGACCAUAGAAGUAGCAGAAGGUUCACAGGUCGUAAUUCGGGUAACAAACAAACUUUUAUCCGAAGCCAUAUCAAUACACUGGCAUGGUUUGCACCAGAAAUACACUCCAUGGAUGGAUGGCACACCUCGCAUCACCAAUUGCCCCAUUCAUCCACACCAGACCUUUACUUAUAGGUUUAAAGCGACACCUAGUGGAACACAUUGGUACCAUUCACAUAUGGAAGUCCAAAAAGCAGACGGACUUUUCGGGAUGCUUAUUGUCCAUAAGAAGGACGCCAAAGAUGUUGUAGAAAAGGAGGAUUCUGUGCCGUUGAUUGUUACUGAUUGGUUUCAUGUUAACGGUGCAACAAUAGAUGUAACGAAUGCAUACAGAACGGAUUAUCCACCUGGUACAGGCGAACUAAUGCUUCAUUUCAAAGAUCGUUGGUACUCUAAAGAUAGUAUUGAACUAUCGGGAAUGAAAUACGAAAGUGGUUUAAUUAACGGCAGAGGUCGGUUUAACAACAAGGCUCCUCUUUUUGAGACGACUAUUAAAGCAAAUAAUACAAAGAGAUUUAGAUCGGUAAACGCUGCGUCUGAAUACCCCUACCAGAUUUCCAUUGACGACCACGAGUUGAUAGUUUUGUCAUUGGACGGAAACGAAAUAGAGCCAUAUUCUGUACAUUCUGUUAUAAUAUAUCCCGGGGAGAGAGUUGACUUUAUGGUAAACGGAAAUCAACCCCCUUCACAAUAUUUUAUAAGAGCAAAAACAUUGGUUGAAGGAGCUGGACCCAAUGAUAACCAUGAAAUAAAUGCGAAAUUAAUGUAUGAAGGAAGCGAGCUGGCUGAUUCAGACCCUGCGUCUUCCCAAAGGAAAUGCACACAAUCCAACCCUUGUAAAAUUCUAAACUGUCCUUUUCCCAACUAUCCAAACUCCAGCAACAUUUGUAUUUCAAUCAGUGAUAUGAUGGACCUUAAGCGAUCCGUCUUCUUGGGUAAUGAAACGUAUGAAGAGGAAUUCCUCAACUUUGAAUUUGCCAUAGGAUCAUCGGUUAAUAACAUCAAAUUUGUUGCUCCUCGUGCCCCGUGGAAUGAACCAAACAAUUGGGAGGUCCCGUGUGCUGAUAACUGUCCAAAUGUCAGCUGUCACUGCACACAUGAACUUAGCUUCUCUUUAAACCAGGUCGUUAGAUUAACAUUAAUUAAUAUGAGGGAACCGUCUGCAUUUGCCCAUCAUCCAGUACAUCUUCACGGGUUUUCAUUUGAAGUGCUAAAAACUGGCUACCCUGAAAUAAAUGGAACUACGGGGGAAAUGACCAGUCACAACACAGACAUCGUAUGUGAUACCAAGCCUAUCUGUAGCAGGGUACAUUGGAGAGAGGGCCAUCCGAAAGAUUUAAACUUCGAUCAUCCUCCAAGAAAGGAUACGAUUCUCAUCCCAGCAGGAGGGUACGUGAUUGUUCAAUUCGUAGCUGAUAACCCGGGCUAUUGGUUCAUGCACUGUCACCCCUUGUUGCACGUUUUAGAGGGAAUGGCACUGGUGGUGAACGUUGCUAGAGACCAGCAGGGAAAGCCACCCAAGGGGUUUCCGACGUGUAAUACAUUUGAUUGGUCAUCUGAGGAGUAUAACAAGGUCAUGGCUACAGAGGGAACCCAAACAUCUCCACGGUGCCUUAAAGACGAUGAAACUUACGAUACAGGGGAGAGUAUUCCUUCUAAGGAUGGCUGCAAUACCUGCACGUGUGGUAGUGAUGAGCAAUGGAGAUGCACCGAAAUAGCAUGUGCUACUAAGCCUCCAUCUAUGGCAAAUGUUUACGAUGAACUAACAUUUUGGGUUGUUGUUGGUGUACUAGCCGGGAUCUGCUUCAUACUUCUACUGGCUGUGAUUUACUUACUAUGUACCAGAACAUCAACUCGCAAAGGAAGAGAUUCAACUUUAGAAAUCGACUCUAAAGAAAACAAGGGUUAUUAUCAGGAUAGAACUGAUAUGUGAUCAUCAUCGUUGAAUCCUGCUUGGCAUCCUAUCUCAGACUUGCUACCCUUUCUAAUUCUAGUUGAAUACCGAUGUCAACUUAGACAAUGUGACUUUAUGGGCGAACCCCUUUUAAUGGAUUGUAUUUUAUAAUUUGACAUGCCUCGUAUUGCUAUUGCAUAGAGUGACAUUUUUUAAAUCUUAAUUUUAGUUCAUCUUUGACUUCAAAGGUGUUAUAACCCAGUUGGAGCAACUGAAACAUUGUGAAUUUUAGUUAACAAAACUAACACAUUUAAUGUUUACAUAAAAUUGACAAAGAUAUUAAUGUAUAGAAUAAAACAUAGCGGAGACCACCAAUUUUUAAUAACAAAAUGUUUCAUUCGGAUAUUUAAUUAGAAGUAUUUUUUGACAUGUAAAUAUGGUAGAUUUUUGGAGAAGAAUGAAGGAUUACCCAUUAUCUGGUGUUGUGUUAUGAAUUUUGUAAAUGUCAUGCACGUGAAUUGUUUAGUUUAUAUCUUAAAUUGAACUACUCAGCCAUUCAUCAAUUAAAUGAAAGUUAAUCUCAGACUCGGUUGAAAGAUCAUCAAUUUAGGG